rnacentral:rRNA from 1 species
AUUGAACGCUGGCGGCAUGCUUUACACAUGCAAGUCGAACGGUAACAGGCCUUCGGGUGCUGACGAGUGGCGAACGGGUGAGUAAUGCAUCGGAACGUGCCCAAUCGUGGGGGAUAACGUAGCGAAAGUUACGCUAAUACCGCAUAAGCCCUGAGGGGGAAAGCAGGGGAUCGCAAGACCUUGCGCGAAUGGAGCGGCCGAUGUCAGAUUAGCUAGUUGGUGGGGUAAAGGCCUACCAAGGCGACGAUCUGUAGCGGGUCUGAGAGGAUGAUCCGCCACACUGGGACUGAGACACGGCCCAGACUCCUACGGGAGGCAGCAGUGGGGAAUAUUGGACAAUGGGCGCAAGCCUGAUCCAGCAAUGCCGCGUGUGUGAAGAAGGCCUGCGGGUUGUAAAGCACUUUCAGUGGGAAGAACAGGCCUGGGCGUAAUACCCCAGGUGUCUGACGUUACCCACAGAAGAAGCACCGGCUAACUCCGUGCCAGCAGCCG